CCUGGUUGAUCCUGCCAGUAGUCAUAUGCUUGUCUCAAAGAUUAAGCCAUGCAUGUAUAAGUAUGAACUAAUUCACACUGUGAAACUGCGGAUGGCUCAUUAAAUCAGUUAAAUAUUUUUUUAUGGUACCAUACUACUCAGAUAACAAUAGUAAUUCUAGAGCUAAUACAUGCACCAAGUCCUGAAUCUUUGGAAGGGAUGCAUUUUUUAGAUAAAAGAUCAACGCGGGCUUGCCCACUUCUUCGGUGAAUCAUGAUAACUCAACGGAUCACACAACCCUUGUGCUGGCAAUGCUUCAUUCAAAUUUCUGCCCUAUGAACUUUCUAUGGUAUGAUAGAGGUCGACCAUGGUGGUGGCAGGUGAUGGAGAAUGAGGGUUUGAUUACGGAGAUGGAGCCUGAGAAAUGACUACCACAUCCAAGGAAGGCAGCAGGCGUGAAAAUUAUCCAAUCCUGACAUGGGGAGGUAGUGACAAUAAAUAACAGUACUGGACUCAUCGAGUCUGGUAAUUGGAAUGAGUAUAAUCUAAAUCCCUUAAUGAGGAUCCACUGGAGGGAAAUUAUGCUACUAGCAGCUGCAGUAAUUACAGCUCCAUUAGCAUAUAUUUAAGUUGUUGCAGUUAGAAAGAUCAAAGUUGGAUCUUGGUUCAUAAAGGUUGGCCCACCUACUCAGUGUGCACCUGUCCUUUUGGCCCUUCUGUCAGUGGUGUGAUCCUAGCCUUAAUUGGAUGGGUCAUGGAUCUGAUGCUAUUACUUUGAAAAAGUUAGAGUGCUCAAAGCAAGCUUAUGCUCUUAAUACAUUAGCAUGGAAUAAUGUGAUAGGAGCCUAGACCUAUUGUGUUGACCUUCAGGACUGGAGUAAUGAUUAAUAGGGACUGUCGGGGGAAUUCAUAUUUUAUUAUCAGAGGUGAAAUUCUUGGAUUUAUGAAAUACGGACCAGGGAUCGAUGGAUGUUUCUCUAAAGAGUCCACUGACACCUUCUGAGAAAUUAGAUUGUUUGGGUUUUAGGGGGAGUAUGGUCGCAAGAAUGAAACUUAAAGGAAUUGAUGGAACGACACCACAAGGAGUGGAGCUUGCAACUUAAUUUGACUCAACACGGGGAAACUUACCAAGUCCACACAUCGUAAGGAUUGACAGAUUGAGAGAUAUUUCCUUAUUUUAUGGUUGAUGGUGCAUGCUUUUCUUAGUUGGUGGAGUGAUUUUUCUAGUUAAUUUUGAUAACGAGUGAGACCUUAGCUUGCUAACUAGAUACACAGAGGUUCCCCUUCGCAGCUAGCUUCUUAGAGGGACUAUGGUUUUUUAGGCCAUGUAAGCUUGAGGAAAUAACAUGUCUGUGAUGCCCUUAGAUGUUCUGGGUUGCACGUGCACUACACUAAUGCAGCCAACGAGUUUUUCCUCCUAGUUCGAGAGGAUCGGGAAAUCUUUUCAAAUUGCAUUGUGAUGGGGAUAGACCAUUGCAAUUAUUGGCCUUCAAAAAAGAAUUCAUAGUAAGUACGUGUCAUCAAAUGAUUUUGACUAUGUCCCUACCCUUUGUACAUACCACAUGUCGCUCUAAGUGAUUGAAUGAUCCGUUGAAAUGUUCAGAUUGCGUCGACGAUGGUGGUUCGCCACCAUCAACGUCGUGAUAAGUUCAUUGAACCUUAUCAUUUAGAGGAAGGAGGAACCAUAACAAGGUUACCAUAGGUUAACCUACAGUAG
rnacentral:rRNA from 1 species